UACGGAGGGUGCGAGCGUUAUCCGGAAUUACUGGGUUUAAAGGGUGCGUAGGCGGCUAAGUAAGUCAGAAGUGAAAGUUUGCGGCUCAACCGUAAAAUUGCUUUUGAUACUGCUUAGCUGGAAUUAGGAUGAGGUCAGCGGAAUGUGGCAUGUAGCGGUGAAAUGCAUAGAUAUGCCAUAGAACACCAAUUGCGAAGGCAGCUGGCUAGACCUAUAUUGACGCUGAGGCACGAAAGCGUGGGGAGCGAACAGGAUUAGAUACCCUGGUAGUCCACGCCCUAAACGAUGCUCACUCGACGUAUAGCACUCGAUGCUGUGCGUCCAAGGGAAACCGUUAAGUGAGCCACCUGGGGAGUACGACCGCAAGGUUGAA
rnacentral:rRNA from 1 species